rnacentral:rRNA from 1 species
CACGUAGGGCGCAAGCGUUGUCCGGAAUUACUGGGCGUAAAGCGCGCGUAGGCGGCUUUGCAAGUCAGAGGUGAAAGCCUGGAGCUCAACUCCAGAACUGCCUUUGAAACUGCAUCGCUUGAAUCAUGGAGAGGUUAGUGGAAUUCCGAGUGUAGAGGUGAAAUUCGUAGAUAUUCGGAAGAACACCAGUGGCGAAGGCGACUAACUGGACAUGUAUUGACGCUGAGGUGCGAAAGCGUGGGGAGCAAACAGG